GAUGAACGCUGGCGGCGUGCCUAAUACAUGCAAGUCGAGCGAACAGACGAGGAGCUUGCUCCUCUGACGUUAGCGGCGGACGGGUGAGUAACAUGUGGAUAACCUACCUAUAAGACUGGGAUAACUUCGGGAAACCGGAGCUAAUACCGGAUAAUAUAUUGAACCGCAUGGUUCAAUAGUGAAAGACGGUUUUGCUGUCACUUAUAGAUGGAUCCGCGCCGCAUUAGCUAGUUGGUAAGGUAACGGCUUACCAAGGCAACGAUGCGUAGCCGACCUGAGAGGGUGAUCGGCCACACUGGAACUGAGACACGGUCCAGACUCCUACGGGAGGCAGCAGUAGGGAAUCUUCCGCAAUGGGCGAAAGCUUGACGGAGCAACGCCGCGUGAGUGAUGAAGGUCUUCGGAUCGUAAAACUCUGUUAUUAGGGAAGAACAAAUGUGUAAGUAACUAUGCACGUCUUGACGGUACCUAAUCAGAAAGCCACGGCUAACUACGUG
rnacentral:rRNA from 1 species